GUUCGUGGAGUGAUCUGUCUGCUUAAUUGCGUUUCAGAUAAUUGGAGGUCAUGAGUAGGUCAGCGUGUCUGGGUAACACCAGUCAUCGCGGGCUGAGCUCGCCUCCUUGAAAGCAACGAACGUGACCGCAGCCCCUUGUUGGACGUCCACCGCUCCCUCGUGGGGCGUUGUUGUCGAUGUCCGAACUAGGGGGACCGCCAGGCUUUUUAAAACCGGAGGAAGGUUGCGGCAAUAACAGGU
rnacentral:rRNA from 1 species